GUCCACGCCGUAAACGAUGGGCACUAGAUGCUUGGGGGAGCGACCCCCUGAGUGUCGUCGCUAACGCAUUAAGUGCCCCGCCUGGGGAGUACGGCCGCAAGGCUGAAACUCAAAGGAAUUGACGGGGGCCCGCACAAGCGGUGGAGCAUGUGGUUUAAUUCGACGCAACGCGAAGAACCUUACCAGGGCUUGACAUGCAGGGGAAAUCCUGGGGAAACCCGGGUGUCCUUCGGGACGUCCUGCACAGGUGCUGCAUGGCUGUCGU
rnacentral:rRNA from 1 species